rnacentral:rRNA from 1 species
AUUGAACGCUGGCGGCAGGCCUAACACAUGCAAGUCGAGCGGAGCGGCGGACGGGUGAGUAAUGCCUAGGACUCUGCCUGGUAGUGGGGGAGAACGUCCGGAAACGGGCGCUAAUACCGCAUACUAUCAGAUGAGCCUAGGUCGGAUUAGCUAGUGGGUGGGGUAAAGGCCUACCAAGGCGACGAUCCGUAACUGGUCUGAGAGGAUGAUCAGUCAAGCUGGAACUGGUGACCGGUCCAGACUCCUACGGGAGGCGGCCAUGGGGAAUAUUGGACAAUGGGCGAAAGCCUGUUCCAGCCCUGCCGCGUGUGUGAAGAAGGUCUUCGGAUUGUAAAGCACUUUAAGUUGGGAGGCGUUACCAACAGAAUAAGCACCGGCUAACUUCGUGCCAGCAGCCGCGGUAAUUC